rnacentral:rRNA from 1 species
GACGAACGCUGGCGGCGUGCUUAACACAUGCAAGUGGUGCGACGAACCAGGGCUUGCCCUGGGGCAAAGCCGCGAACGGGUGAGUAACACGUGAGUAACCUGCCCCGAUGACCGGGACAACCCGAGGAAACUCGGGCUAAUACCGGAUGUGGCGCACAGGCAUCAGCCUGUUCGCUAAAGGAAGCUUCGGCCUCCGCAUUGGGAGGGGCUCGCGGCCCAUUAGCUUGUUGGUGGGGUAACGGCCUACCAAGGCAACGAUGGGUAGCUGGUCUGAGAGGACGAUCAGCCACACUGGGACUGAGACACGGCCCAGACUCCUACGGGAGGCAGCAGUGGGGAAUCUUGCGCAAUGCGCGAAAGCGUGACGCAGCAACGCCGCGUGGGGAAGACGGCCU